UUUCCGUAGGUGAACCUGCGGAAGGAUCAUUAAUAAAUUUUUUAGGUUGAAUUUGAAACCUAAAAUAUAAUAAUCCUACCUUUGUGAAUUGUUGUUUGAAAUAAUUUUUAAAAAAUUAUUUAUAGUUUGUCUAUCCCUGAGUUGUAAGAGAAGUAAUCUUGAAGACUUAGGGAUAGGCUUUAUCUAUAAUAAUGAUUUAAGACCUUUUUUUAAAUUAAACUUUUGUAUUCAUUUUCUAAAUUUAUUUUUAAUAAUUUAAAAACAACUUUUGACAAUGGAUCUCUUGGUUCUCGCAACGAUGAAGAACGCAGCAAAUGCGAUAAGUAAUGUGAAUUGCAGAAUACGUGAAUCAUCAAAUCUUCGAACGCAUAUUGCACUUUCUAGCUUACUAAAAAGUAUGUCUGUUUGAGUAUCAGUAAAAUAUUCUCAUAAAAAAUUAUUUUUUUAUGGUUUGAGUGUUUUACAACGAUACAAGCUGUUUCACUUUAAUUGACUUUAAAUUGCCUAUUAUUAGUCAAUUUUUAAAAUGCAUAAAAUUUCCCGUAAAAGGAAUAACCUAUCAAUUUAAAAUUAACUGAUAUUAAAAGGCCUUGAUAAAAGGAAUUUAAUUAAAUAACUUGAUCUCAAAUCAGAUAAGAGUACCCGCUGAACUUAAGCAUAUCAAUAAGCGGAGGAAAGAAACUAACAAGGAUUCCCUAGUAACGGCGAGUGAAGCGGGAAGAGCUCAAAUUGAAUCUUCAAGGUUUGACCUUGACGAAUUGUAGUUUAAAGAAGUGUUUUCGGUUAGAGGAGUGGUAAAAGUCUUUGGAAUAGGACAUCAUAGAGGUGAGAAUCCCGUAUUGACCAUUCUUUCUAGCUUGUGAUACACUUUCAAAGAGUCGGAUUGUUUGGGAAUGCAGUCCAAAAUGGUGGUAAUUUCAUCUAAAGCUAAAUAUUGGUGAGAGACCGAUAGCGAACAAGUACCGUGAGGGAAAGAUGAAAAGAACUUUGAAAAGAGAGUUAAACAGUACGUGAAAUUGUCAAAAGGGAAGCGUUGACACCAGUGUUGUUUUUCCGAAAUCAAUUAAAAUAAAUUCAUGCCAGGUUGUAUUGACCUUAUCAGCUUGCAAUUUGGUUUGGGUCUCUUUUUGAUGCACUUUUCGGUUAACAAGUCAACAUCAUUUCCUUUGCUGUAAAAGGGCAGGAGGAAGGUGGCUUCAAUUUCGGUUGAAGUGUUUAUAGCCUUCUGUCUCUGCAGUCGGGAGAUGAGGUCUGCAGCGUAGAUCCUUCGGGUUAGAUACAUUCGUGCUAAGUUAUAGCCUUUAUAGACAACUUGUUGACUAUGGUCGGUCAUGUAAUUACUCGCGAGUGCUAUUUACCUACGCUUAGGAUGUU
rnacentral:misc_RNA from 1 species